UUUUGCUUUUAUCUCCUUGCCAUGGUCUGAAGAAGCCAUAUUGUUGUAAGGUUGAUGACAAAUGAGGUCAUGGCCUGUUUCAGUAUGAAGUGGGGGAAGGGGAAGCUUGCCUUCACCAAGAUCAAUCUGUACACUGUUGUCACAGAGAGUGUCCAGAAAACAUCAAAAGAGACGGGGCAAAUAUUGCAGCGGCCACCGCCUUUUGUUUAAAAUAUGCCCCAGCAGAGCCGUCGCAAGGAGGGUGAGAGGCCCUGUGCAAAGUUGACAUGCGAGGCCCUCUACAAUUUUGCGUGUGUGUGUGUGUGUGUGUGUGUGUGUGGGGGGGGGAGGUUGCUGUA